UAAUACGAAGGGGGCUAGCGUUGUUCGGAUUUACUGGGCGUAAAGCGUACGUAGGCGGACCGUUAAGUCGGAGGUGAAAUCCUGGGGCUCAACCCCAGAACUGCCUUCGAUACUGGCGGUCUCGAGUCCGGGAGAGGUGAGUGGAACUGCCAGUGUAGAGGUGAAAUUCGUAGAUAUUGGCAAGAACACCAGUGGCGAAGGCGGCUCACUGGCCCGGUACUGACGCUGAGGUACGAAAGCGUGGGGAGCAAACAGG
rnacentral:rRNA from 1 species